rnacentral:rRNA from 1 species
UUGAACGCUGGCGGCAGGCCUAACACAUACAAGUCGAGCGGUAGCACAGAGAGCUUGCUCUCGGGUGACGAGCGGCGGACGGGUGAGUAAUGUCUGGGAAACUGCCUGAUGGAGGGGGAUAACUACUGGAAACGGUAGCUAAUACCGCAUAAUGUCGCAAGACCAAAGUGGGGGACCUUCGGGCCUCAUGCCAUCAGAUGUGCCCAGAUGGGAUUAGCUAGUAGGUGGGGUAACGGCUCACCUAGGCGACGAUCCCUAGCUGGUCUGAGAGGAUGACCAGCCACACUGGAACUGAGACACGGUCCAGACUCCUACGGGAGGCAGCAGUGGGGAAUAUUGCACAAUGGGCGCAAGCCUGAUGCAGCCAUGCCGCGUGUGUGAAGAAGGCCUUCGGGUUGUAAAGCACUUUCAGCGGGGAGGAAGGCGUUAAGGUUAAUAACCUUGGCGAUUGACGUUACCCGCAGAAGAAGCACCGGCUAACUCCGUGCCAGCAGCCGCGGUAAUACGGAGGGUGCAAGCGUUAAUCGGAAUUACUGGGCGUAAAGCGCACGCAGGCGGUCUGUCAAGUCGGAUGUGAAAUCCCCGGGCUCAACCUGGGAACUGCAUUCGAAACUGGCAGGCUAGAGUCUUGUAGAGGGGGGUAGAAUUCCAGGUGUAGCGGUGAAAUGCGUAGAGAUCUGGAGGAAUACCGGUGGCGAAGGCGGCCCCCUGGACAAAGACUGACGCUCAGGUGCGAAAGCGUGGGGAGCAAACAGGAUUAGAUACCCUGGUAGUCCACGCCGUAAACGAUGUCGAUUUGGAGGUUGUGCCCUUGAGGCGUGGCUUCCGGAGCUAACGCGUUAAAUCGACCGCCUGGGGAGUACGGCCGCAAGGUUAAAACUCAAAUGAAUUGACGGGGGCCCGCACAAGCGGUGGAGCAUGUGGUUUAAUUCGAUGCAACGCGAAGAACCUUACCUGGUCUUGACAUCCACAGAACUUAGCAGAGAUGCUUUGGUGCCUUCGGGAACUGUGAGACAGGUGCUGCAUGGCUGUCGUCAGCUCGUGUUGUGAAAUGUUGGGUUAAGUCCCGCAACGAGCGCAACCCUUAUCCUUUGUUGCCAGCGGUUAGGCCGGGAACUCAAAGGAGACUGCCAGUGAUAAACUGGAGGAAGGUGGGGAUGACGUCAAGUCAUCAUGGCCCUUACGACCAGGGCUACACACGUGCUACAAUGGCAUAUACAAAGAGAAGCGACCUCGCGAGAGCAAGCGGACCUCAUAAAGUAUGUCGUAGUCCGGAUUGGAGUCUGCAACUCGACUCCAUGAAGUCGGAAUCGCUAGUAAUCGUAGAUCAGAAUGCUACGGUGAAUACGUUCCCGGGCCUUGUACACACCGCCCGUCACACCAUGGGAGUGGGUUGCAAAAGAAGUAGGUAGCUUAACCUUCGGGAGGGCGCUUACCACUUUGUGAUUCAUGACUGGGGUG